rnacentral:pre_miRNA from 1 species
AGUGGGAUAGCUGGGUCACAUAGUGGUUCCAUCCCUAAUUUUUUAAGGAUCGUCCAUACUACUUUCCAGAAUGGUUGUACUAGUCUGCAGUCCCACUCACAAU